GACGUAGGGCGCGAGCGUUGUCCGGAUUUAUUGGGCGUAAAGAGCUCGUAGGCGGCUUGUCGCGUCGUCCGUGAAAACUUGGGGCUCAACCCCAAGCUUGCGGUCGAUACGGGCAGGCUCGAGUUCGGUAGGGGAGACUGGAAUUCCCGGUGUAGCGGUGAAAUGCGCAGAUAUCGGGAGGAACACCGGUGGCGAAGGCGGUUCUCUGGGCCUGUACUGACGCUGAGGAGCGAAAGCGUGGGGAGCGAACAGGAUUAGAU
rnacentral:rRNA from 1 species